GAUUAUCAUUAUAGAUCACACAGGGAGAACAAAGGUCGGAUCAAGUUUCUAAGCUUUCUAUAUCUCUGUUUUCCGGCUAA